GAUGAACGCUGGCGGCGUGCCUAAUACAUGCAAGUCGAGCGAACGGACGAGAAGCUUGCUUCUCUGAUGUUAGCGGCGGACGGGUGAGUAACACGUGGAUAACCUACCUAUAAGACUGGGAUAACUUCGGGAAACCGUAGCUAAUACCGGAUAAUAUUUUGAACCGCAUGGUUCAAAAGUGAAAGACGGUCUUGCUGUCACUUAUAGAUGGAUCCGAGCUGCAUUAGCUAGUUGGUAAGGUAACGGCUUACCAAGGCAACGAUGCAUAGCCGACCUGAGAGGGUGAUCGGCCACACUGGAACUGAGACACGGUCCAGACUCCUACGGGAGGCAGCAGUAGGGAAUCUUCCGCAAUGGGCGAAAGCCUGACGGAGCAACGCCGCGUGAGUGAUGAAGGUCUUCGGAUCGUAAAACUCUGUUAUUAGGGAAGAACAUAUGUGUAAGUAACUGUGCACAUCUUGACGGUACCUAAUCAGAAAGCCACGGCUAACUACGUG
rnacentral:rRNA from 1 species